rnacentral:rRNA from 1 species
GACGAACGCUGGCGGCGUGCUUAACACAUGCAAGUCGAACGGAAAGGCCCUGCUUUUGUGGGGUGCUCGAGUGGCGAACGGGUGAGUAACACGUGAGUAACCUGCCCUGGACUUUGGGAUAACUUCAGGAAACUGGGGCUAAUACCGGAUAGGAGCUCCUGCUGCAUGGUGGGGGUUGGAAAGUUUCGGCGGUUGGGGAUGGACUCGCGGCUUAUCAGCUUGUUGGUGGGGUAGUGGCUUACCAAGGGUUUGACGGGUAGCCGGCAUGAGAGGGUGACCGGCCACAUUGGGACUGAGAUACGGACCAGACUCCUACGGGAGGCAGCAGUGGGGAAUAUUGCACAAUGGGCGGAAGCCUGAUGCAGCAACGCCGCGUGCGGGAUGACGGCCUUCGGGUUGUAAACCGCUUUCGCCUGUGACGAAGCGUGAGUGACGGUAAUGGGUAAAGAAGCACCGGCUAACUACGUG